AAGGAAAAGCUAGCUGGCAUCAGAAACAGGUGGGACUGGGAGAGGAGGCGGAGGGAGGGGCUGCUUUUGACUUGGGGGCCCAAGAAGACCUCUCUGCAGAGGUGAUAUUGAAGAUGAGACGGCCACCGCAGGAGCCUGCUGCCAGCCCACCCAGCCCUGCCAGCAGCGUCAGCUGAUCCCUGCGCGGUUACAAUCAACAAAGAGGGAGAGAAUGAGGAGCGGGGAAAAAUCCCACGGAGUCACGGAGGUCAUCUGGCUGGGGCGCAGGCUGCGGGGAGCGCUUCUCUCUGCCUCCAUGGCUCCCCACGUUGCACAGCACCAGGAGUGAGAAUAAUCGCAGCCGCCGCCACCACCACGUGCAUGCCCAGGGUGCCCUGCUCCGGUUAUCUGCCUCUCCCACAACGCGUACACCCCUCCUCCCAGUAUUUAGAAGGGAUCCGUCUAGAACCGAAUGAGUGAAUGGAAUAAACAGUUUUUGGAGACUGUGACA
rnacentral:lncRNA from 1 species